rnacentral:rRNA from 1 species
GGGCCCGCACAAGCGGAGGAACAUGUGGUUUAAUUCGAUGAUACGCGAGGAACCUUACCCGGGCUUGAAUUGCAGACGCACGCGGCAGAGAUGCCAAGGCCCUUCGGGGCGUCUGUGAAGGUGCUGCAUGGUUGUCGUCAGCUCGUGCCGUGAGGUGUCGGCUUAAGUGCCAUAACGAGCGCAACCCCUGUUCUUAGUUGCCAUCACUUCGGGUGGGCACUCUGAGGAUACUGCCACCGUAAGGUGUGAGGAAGGUGGGGAUGACGUCAAAUCAGCACGGCCCUUACGUCCGGGGCUACACACGUGUUACAAUGGAGCAUACAGAGAGUUGGAUGCGCGCAAGCACGUCCCAAUCAAUAAAGUGCUUCUCAGUUCGGACUGGGGUCUGCAACCCGACCCCACGAAGCUGGAUUCGCUAGUAAUCGCGCAUCAGCCAUGGCGCGGUGAAUACGUUCCCGGGCCUU